rnacentral:rRNA from 1 species
GGGUUGUGAGGUUAAGCGACUAAGCGUACACGGUGGAUGCCCUGGCAGUCAGAGGCGAUGAAGGACGUGCUAAUCUGCGAUAAGCGUCGGUAAGGUGAUAUGAACCGUUAUAACCGGCGAUUUCCGAAUGGGGAAACCCAGUGUGUUUCGACACACUAUCAUUAACUGAAUCCAUAGGUUAAUGAGGCGAACCGGGGGAACUGAAACAUCUAAGUACCCCGAGGAAAAGAAAUCAACCGAGAUUCCCCCAGUAGCGGCGAGCGAACGGGGAGGAGCCCAGAGCCUGAAUCAGUGUGUGUGUUAGUGGAAGCGUCUGGAAAGGCGCGCGAUACAGGGUGACAGCCCCGUACACAAAAAUGCACAUACUGUGAGCUCGAUGAGUAGGGCGGGACACGUGGUAUCCUGUCUGAAUAUGGGGGGACCAUCCUCCAAGGCUAAAUACUCCUGACUGACCGAUAGUGAACCAGUACCGUGAGGGAAAGGCGAAAAGAACCCCGGCGAGGGGAGUGAAAAAGAACCUGAAACCGUGUACGUACAAGCAGUGGGAGCCUCUUUUAUGGGGUGACUGCGUACCUUUUGUAUAAUGGGUCAGCGACUUAUAUUCUGUAGCAAGGUUAACCGAAUAGGGGAGCCGAAGGGAAACCGAGUCUUAACUGGGCGUUAAGUUGCAGGGUAUAGACCCGAAACCCGGUGAUCUAGCCAUGGGCAGGUUGAAGGUUGGGUAACACUAACUGGAGGACCGAACCGACUAAUGUUGAAAAAUUAGCGGAUGACUUGUGGCUGGGGGUGAAAGGCCAAUCAAACCGGGAGAUAGCUGGUUCUCCCCGAAAGCUAUUUAGGUAGCGCCUCGUGAAUUCAUCUCCGGGGGUAGAGCACUGUUUCGGCAAGGGGGUCAUCCCGACUUACCAACCCGAUGCAAACUGCGAAUACCGGAGAAUGUUAUCACGGGAGACACACGGCGGGUGCUAACGUCCGUCGUGAAGAGGGAAACAACCCAGACCGCCAGCUAAGGUCCCAAAGUCAUGGUUAAGUGGGAAACGAUGUGGGAAGGCCCAGACAGCCAGGAUGUUGGCUUAGAAGCAGCCAUCAUUUAAAGAAAGCGUAAUAGCUCACUGGUCGAGUCGGCCUGCGCGGAAGAUGUAACGGGGCUAAACCAUGCACCGAAGCUGCGGCAGCGACACUAUGUGUUGUUGGGUAGGGGAGCGUUCUGUAAGCCUGUGAAGGUGUGCUGUGAGGCAUGCUGGAGGUAUCAGAAGUGCGAAUGCUGACAUAAGUAACGAUAAAGCGGGUGAAAAGCCCGCUCGCCGGAAGACCAAGGGUUCCUGUCCAACGUUAAUCGGGGCAGGGUGAGUCGACCCCUAAGGCGAGGCCGAAAGGCGUAGUCGAUGGGAAACAGGUUAAUAUUCCUGUACUUGGUGUUACUGCGAAGGGGGGACGGAGAAGGCUAUGUUGGCCGGGCGACGGUUGUCCCGGUUUAAGCGUGUAGGCUGGUUUUCCAGGCAAAUCCGGAAAAUCAAGGCUGAGGCGUGAUGACGAGGCACUACGGUGCUGAAGCAACAAAUGCCCUGCUUCCAGGAAAAGCCUCUAAGCAUCAGGUAACAUCAAAUCGUACCCCAAACCGACACAGGUGGUCAGGUAGAGAAUACCAAGGCGCUUGAGAGAACUCGGGUGAAGGAACUAGGCAAAAUGGUGCCGUAACUUCGGGAGAAGGCACGCUGAUAUGUAGGUGAAGUCCCUCGCGGAUGGAGCUGAAAUCAGUCGAAGAUACCAGCUGGCUGCAACUGUUUAUUAAAAACACAGCACUGUGCAAACACGAAAGUGGACGUAUACGGUGUGACGCCUGCCCGGUGCCGGAAGGUUAAUUGAUGGGGUCAGCGCAAGCGAAGCUCUUGAUCGAAGCCCCGGUAAACGGCGGCCGUAACUAUAACGGUCCUAAGGUAGCGAAAUUCCUUGUCGGGUAAGUUCCGACCUGCACGAAUGGCGUAAUGAUGGCCAGGCUGUCUCCACCCGAGACUCAGUGAAAUUGAACUCGCUGUGAAGAUGCAGUGUACCCGCGGCAAGACGGAAAGACCCCGUGAACCUUUACUAUAGCUUGACACUGAACAUUGAGCCUUGAUGUGUAGGAUAGGUGGGAGGCUUAGAAGUGUGGACGCCAGUCUGCAUGGAGCCGACCUUGAAAUACCACCCUUUAAUGUUUGAUGUUCUAACGUGGACCCGUGAUCCGGGUUGCGGACAGUGUCUGGUGGGUAGUUUGACUGGGGCGGUCUCCUCCUAAAGAGUAACGGAGGAGCACGAAGGUUGGCUAAUCCUGGUCGGACAUCAGGAGGUUAGUGCAAUGGCAUAAGCCAGCUUGACUGCGAGCGUGACGGCGCGAGCAGGUGCGAAAGCAGGUCAUAGUGAUCCGGUGGUUCUGAAUGGAAGGGCCAUCGCUCAACGGAUAAAAGGUACUCCGGGGAUAACAGGCUGAUACCGCCCAAGAGUUCAUAUCGACGGCGGUGUUUGGCACCUCGAUGUCGGCUCAUCACAUCCUGGGGCUGAAGUAGGUCCCAAGGGUAUGGCUGUUCGCCAUUUAAAGUGGUACGCGAGCUGGGUUUAGAACGUCGUGAGACAGUUCGGUCCCUAUCUGCCGUGGGCGCUGGAGAACUGAGGGGGGCUGCUCCUAGUACGAGAGGACCGGAGUGGACGCAUCACUGGUGUUCGGGUUGUCAUGCCAAUGGCACUGCCCGGUAGCUAAAUGCGGAAGAGAUAAGUGCUGAAAGCAUCUAAGCACGAAACUUGCCCCGAGAUGAGUUUUCCCUGACUCCUUGAGAGUCCUGAAGGAACGUUGAAGACGACGACGUUGAUAGGCCGGGUGUGUAAGCGCAGCGAUGCGUUGAGCUAACCGGUACUAAUGAACCGUGAGGCUUAACCUUACAACGCCGAAGCUGUU